CGUAGGUGGCAAGCGUUAUCCGGAAUUAUUGGGCGUAAAGCGCGCGUAGGCGGUUUUUUAAGUCUGAUGUGAAAGCCCACGGCUCAACCGUGGAGGGUCAUUGGAAACUGGAAAACUUGAGUGCGGAAGAGGAAAGUGGAAUUCCAUGUGUAGCGGUGAAAUGCGCAGAGAUAUGGAGGAACACCAGUGGCGAAGGCGACUUUCUGGUCUGUAACUGACGCUGAUGUGCGAAAGCGUGGGGAUCAAACAGGAUUAGAUACCCUGGUAGUCAAGGGCG
rnacentral:rRNA from 1 species